AGAGAGUCGGAGCCGCUGCGUGGGUGAUGUCUGCCAAGAAUUUGGUCUGUCUCCCCGCCCCCAUUCCCACCCUGUGCCAGUACACUUAGUGCUUCCUGCUGAGCUCCUUAGGCAUCCGGGACAUGACCUCCAGUAGCUCUGUAGGCUCCGUUUCCAUGAUGGGCAGCAAUGCAUGCUGCAGCUGGCUCCUGCAAGAGACCCCAGCUAAGCGCAUGGUGGGGAAGCAGCAAGGACUAAAUGAAGCUCAUCAUGCUCACUGCCUGCCACUGAGGGCUUCCAGUUGUGGCAUGUGGGACGCUGCCUCAGCGUGGUUCGACGAGCAGUGUCAUGUCCGCGCCCAGGAUUCGAACCAACGAAACACUGGGCCGCCUGCAGCGGAGCGCGCAAACUUAACCACUCUGCCACGGGGCCAGCCCCCCUUCCGGGGCCCUUUUGCUGCUGGAUGAGCCUGGUUCUCAGAUUGACAGAGUAGCAAAUAUCUGCGACAAGGAAGAAAAGAAGAUGUCUCAGAGACAAACCACAUCCGCUUUUCCACUUCGACAUGAAAGUGUGCAUGGAGCAGAGGAGAAGCAAAUAGCAAAGCAAACAAGCUUCUCGAGACUGACGAUGUGGUGGUGCUAUCCUGGAUUAGGAGGAGUCCUUCUUCCUGAUUGCCUACUACUGUUAAGAGCACUAAAGUAAGCUUUCCUGGCUGAUGAAGUCCAGCACACAAUGAUUGUGGCACGUGGGACGCUGCCUCAGCGUGGCUUGACGAGCAGUGUCAUGUCCGCGCCCAGGAUCCGAACCAACGAAACACUGGGCCGCCUGCAGCAGAGCGCGCGAACUUAACCGCUCAACCACGGGGCCAGCCCCCCUACUUCAACUCUUCAUCUCACAGAAGAAGUGUAACUUCUAAGCAGAGAUGGUCCCAGGAAAACUGUGAGGGAACAAAGAUUCCGCCUCAUCUGCCUUCAAACUCUCCUUUAUCCCAGGAGAACACCAAAGGCCGAGCUGAGUACCAAGCCAGCUCCUGGAUAUCAGGGCUGCUUUUUUCAAUAUUCACCUACCUCGAUCCAGCAAUUCAACUCCUCAGUAGAUGCCUAAGAAGAAUGAAUGCACAUCCAUAUCCACAAAUAGUCUUAUACAGGAACGUUCAUAGUAGCUGAAAACUGGAAAUAAUCUCAUGUCUAUGAACAGGAGAAUGGAUAAACAAAUUGUGGCAUAGUCAUCAAACACAAUGGAAUAUUACUCAUUAAUAAAAAGGAACGAACUAUUGACACAUACAACAAAAUAUUUGAGUCUCAAAAACAUUAUGUAGAGAGAAAAAAGCCAAACACUAUAGAAACAUAUUGGGUGAUUUCAUUAUUUGUAUUGUAAGGACAAGCAAAAUUUGUGACAAGAGAAAUAAGGCCGCUGAGAAGCGGAACGUGCAAACUUAACCGCUGCGCCACAGGGCAGGCCCUGAAAAAUACUUUUUAAAGAGAAAAAUAUUGCAAUCAAGAGGUAUCAAGUGAUGUGCCCAUGGUUUCAUUGCUGGUAGUAUGUAGGUGUCCCAAAGCAAUACAAUGAUUUCUCUAUUGUCUGCCGAUUAUGAUGUAUUUUCUAUCACUAUCGAAAAUGUAACAUUUCCUUUGAACCUGCUCUUCAUUAAAAUGUGCUGUUCCAAUUUGCUUUCAGUCUCAUCUCAGGUGCUAAUCAUUUUGGGGUGAGUACUCAGGCAUGGGGCUUUAGACACCAAGCCCUCACAGUUUCUCAAAAAGAGUUCUUCUUGACUACCUUUUCUCUAGCACGUCACUGGAGUUACUAGUGAAAGUUCCACUCUGUUCACUGGGGCUCUAAGACAGAGAUGAGGAAUCUUCUCCAUAGAUAUCUAUACAUCAGAAAGGAAUGCAAAACUACUUAAGAACUGAUUGCAAGAUUAGACAAGGGCAACUAUCCACUUGCUCUUUGCCCGCCUCCCUUCCUCACUACAAGACCUUGUUAGUAGUUGUUGCUGAAGAGGGAUAACGUCAGUUCACAUAAACCAGAGCUUCUCUUAUCCAUGUUCCAUCAACCCGCAAAUUUCACAAAUCGCCUCAAUAAGAGUAAUCCUCAAGGCUCCCGCCAAAUCUUUGUCUUACAAUAGAAUAUUUUGAACCAAAUAUAAACAUUGUUUUUGAAGAUUGUCUUGACAUGG
ensembl:lncRNA